AAAUCUCAACCUGAAUAAGCGAUUGGCAUAGUAGACAACGCAUAUUAGGGAGAGAUUAGC
rnacentral:pre_miRNA from 1 species